rnacentral:rRNA from 1 species
UACAGAAGGUGCGAGCGUUAAUCGGAAUUACUGGGCGUAAAGGGUGCGUAGGUGGUUUUGUAAGUUAAGUGUGAAAGUCCCGGGCUAAACCUGGGGAUUGCGCCUAAUACUGCAAAGCUAGAGUACUGUAGAGGAAAGUGGAAUUUCCAGUGUAGCGGUGAAAUGCGUAGAUAUUGGAAGGAACAUCAGUGGCGAAGGCGACUUUCUGGACAGAUACUGACACUGAGGCACGAAAGCGUGGGGAGCAAACAGG